UAACUUCAAAUUAAGUAGGAAUACCUACUGAACUUAAACAUAUUAAUAAAUAGAGGAAAAGAAAUUAAUAGGGAUUGCCCUAAUAAUAGUAAGUAAAACGGUAAUAGCUCAAAUUUAAAAUCUAGCUUCGGCCUGAAUUAUAAUUUAUAAAGGAAGUUUUUAGUAAGGUACCUUCUGAGUCCCCUAGAAUAGAGCGCUAUAGAGGGUGAGAGCCCUAUAUAGUUAGAUGCUGAUUUAAUAUAAAGUUCCUUCGAUGAGUCGAAUAAUUUAGGAAUAUUAUUUAAAAUAGGAGGUAAAUUUCUUUUAAAGUUAAAUACUAAUUAGAAAUUAAUAGUAUAUAAGUAGAGUAAUUGAAAGAUGAAAAGUACUUUGAAAAGAAAGUUAAAUAGUAUAUAAAAUUAUUGAAAGGGAAGCGUUUGUAAUUAGAUUUGUACUAUUCUAAUUAUUUAGUAUUUUUACUAAUAUAUUUAGGAUGGUUUAAGCUAGUAUUGGUUUUGGUGGAGGGAUAAAGGUCUAGGGAAUAUAGUUCCUCUGGGAAUAUUAUAGCCCCGAGUGUAAUACCCUUACUAGAACCGAGGUUUAUAUAUUUAUAAGGAUGUUAGUAUAAUAAUUAUUAAUAAUUUAUUUUAAAAUACGGACUAAGGAGUUAAGGUUUUGCGCGAAUAUUUAGGUAUAAAACCUAUAUAUAUAAUAAAAGUAAAUAUAAAUGAGAAUUUCGGUAUAUUAUUGACCAAUUUUAAUAUAUUUAAAUAGAUUUAAAUAAGAGCGUUAAAUUUUGGACUCGAAAGAUAGUGAAUUAUAUUUAAAUAGAGUAAAGCUAGAGGAAAUUCUAAUAGAAGUUCAUAGCGGUUCUAAUAUAUAAAUCGAUUAUUAAAUUUAAAUAUAGGGGUAAAAGAUUAAUUGAAUUAUCUAAUAGUUAGUUAUUGCCGAAGUUUCCUUUAAAAUAAUAGUAUUAUUCUUUAGUUUUAUAAGGUAAAGCAAAUAAUUAAGGAUUCGGGGGCGCUUUUUAGCCUUUAUCUAUUUUUAAACUUUAAAUAUAUAAGAAACCCUUGUUAUUUAAUUGAAUAUAGGUAUUCGAAUAUAUUAAUAUUAGUAGGCUAUUUUUAGUAAGUAGAAUUAGUGAUGCGGAAUAAACCGAACGCGGGGUUAAAGUACUGGAGUAGAUGCUUAUUAAAUAUUAUAAAAAGCGUUAAUAUAUUUUAAUAGUAGGACGGUAACUAUAGAAGUUAGAAUUUAUUAAGGAUUAUAUAAUAAUUUAUUUACCGAAUAUAUUAGCCUUGAAAAUAGAUAGUACUUAAGCGUCCUAUUUAUACUCCGCCCUUAGGGUAGAAAUAAUACCUUAAGGAAUAGGCGGUUAUAGAAGUUAGUAACGAAGUUUAGGGCGUAAACUUAGGUUAAAUAGUUUCUAAUAUAGAUUUUGGUAGUAGUAGUAAAUAUUUUAAUAAGAAUUUAAAGGAUUGAAGUAGGGAAAGGUUCUAUAUAAAUAGUAGUUGGAUAUAGGUUAAUCGAUUUUAAAUUAUAGGGAAAUUUUAUUUUAAAAGGGUAUUUAUACUCCGUAUAGCAAAAAGGAAGCCGGUUAAUAUUCCGGUACUUAAAUAUAGGUUUUAUACAAUAAUAUAAUUAAACGCGGAAAUAACGGCGGGGGCCCCGGAUAAAAUUCUCUUUUCUUUUUAAUAAUUUAUUACCCUAAAAAUAAUUUGUUUAAAGAUAGGGUUUAAUAGUCGGAAGAGUCCAAUACUUCUAUUAGGUCUAAUAUAUUUUUAAUAUCCCUUAAAAAUCCGCAAGAGGGAAUAAUUCUUAUAUUAAAUUGUAUUUAUAAUUAUAGUAAGUCUUUAAGGUAAAUAGCCUCUAAUUAAUAGAAUAAUAUAGAUAAGGGAAAUUAGUAAAAUAGAUCUAUAACUUCGGGAAAAGGAUUAGCUCUAAGGGUUAGGUAUAUUAAGCUUUAAAUAAACGCCCUAGGAAUAGAUCGCUACUAAUUAGGUAAUUAGUUAGUAGUUUUUAAUAUCCGGAUAUAGAAGCCUUUAAUAGACUUCGGUUAUCCGGCGUACAUUUAAUAACCAAUUUAGAAUUAGUACGGAUAGGGGGAAUUUAAUUAUUUAAUUAAAAUAUAGUAUUGUAAUAGCUAGAAAGUAGUAUUAAUGUAAUAUAAUUUCUAUUUAGUAUUUUAAAUAUUAAAGUGAAGAAAUUUAAUUAAGUGUGGAUAAACGGCGGGAGUAACUAUAAUUCUUUUAAGGUAGUUAAAUAUUUUAUUAUUUAAUUAAUAAUGCGUAUAAAUAGAUUAACGAAAUUCCUACUAUUCUUAUUUAUUAUUUAGCGAAACUAUAAUUAAGGGAAUAGAUUUAGUAGAAUUAGUGGGGAAAGAAGACCUUAUUAAAUUUAAUUCUAAUUUAAUAUUAUAAAAAGAUAUAGAAGGUGUAGAAUAGGUAGGAGCUUCGGCGCUGGUAAAAUACUACUAUUCUUAUUAUUUUUUUAUUUAUUUAAUUAAGUAGGGUUGGAUUUUCGUUUAAUUUUUAGUUUUAAGGUCCUUCGUAGGCCGACCCGGGUUGAAGAUAUUAUUAAGUAGGGAAUUUAGUUGGGGCAAUAUAUUUAUUAAACUAUAAUGUAGGUAUUCUAAGGGGGGUUUAUAGAGAAUAGAAAUUUCUAGUAGAAUAAAAGGGUAAAAGUCCUUUUAAUUUUGAUUUUUAGUAUAAAUAUAAAUUAUAAAAGUGUAGCCUAUCGAUCCUUUAGUCCUUCGAAAUUUGAGGUUAGAGGUGUUAGAAAAGUUACUAUAAGGAUAAUUAGUUUGUAGCGGUUAAGUAUUUAUAGUAAUAUUGCUUUUUAAUCCUUUAAUAUUGGUUCUUCCUAUUAUACUGAAAUAGAAUUCGGUAAGCGUUAGAUUAUUUACCUACUAAUAGGGAAUGUAAGUUGGGUUUAAACUAUUAUAAGAUAGGUUAGUUUUACCUUACUAAUAAUCUUAUUAUAAUAGUAAUUAAAUUUAGUAUAAGAAGAAUUAUUUAUUUAAAUAAUUGGUUUUUAUAAUUAUCCGACCGGGUAGUAUUAUAACGCUACUAUUUACUAAAUAAUAAUUAAACGCCUCUAAAUUAAAAUCUAUAUUAGAAUAUAAUAAUAUUUUUAGUAUAUUAUAAACGUAUAAAAAUAAGUUCCGGCUUUGUAUUUUAAUAGGCGAUUCCUCUAUUGGCCUUAAAAUAGCUAAUAGUAAUUUGCGUAUUAUAAUUUUAAUACGCGCUAGAUUAAAUCCUUUAUAAAUAAUUUAAAUAUAUAAAAGGGUUUUAUAAAUAAUAGAAUAACUUUAUUAUUAUAAUUUAUUAAGGGUAAACCCUCCUUCGUUUAAAUUUCC
rfam:Neurospora crassa OR74A unplaced genomic scaffold supercont12.9, whole genome shotgun sequence.